CAAGACAGUAGAACGGAAGUGAUGUCGGAAUCGCGGUAGCCACUGUAACCAGGCCCACGGCCCAGACCAAGAAGGAGGCCCCGACCUGGCCGAGCCGAGGGCUGACCCUGCCCUUACUCCUGACGUUCGGGGACAUUCAGGCUGCGUCCUGACUGCGAUGAGAGCCCAGCAUCAACUCUAGCGAGAACCAGCGGAGAAAACAGAUGCGGAAGGCAGGGCGGCAGACCCCAGCCGGGCUCCGGGCGCGGCGGCUCCAGGCCCCGGGCGCCAGUGGGGGUGCACAGCUUCCCAGAGGCCAGCAGUCGCUGGAAGACGCCUUCGGUGCCAAACCAGCGGGAGAACCUGCCCUGGGGCCACUAUAAACAGCUGCAGGACCCAGUAAUGGCUCUGGAAUUCCUGCAGUGGGUUUCACAGCGUCAGUGAUGGGUACUUGAACCUCAGUUCCUGUCUCAGCAAAAUGAGUUUUCAGAGUGGUCAUUUAUGGAUGUGAGAGUUGGACUGUGAAAAAAGCUGAGAGCCGAAGAACUGAUGCUUUUGAACCGUGGUGUUGGAGAAGACUCUUGAGAGUCCCUUGGACUGCAAGGAGAUCCAACCAGUCCAUCCUAAAGGAGAUCAGUCCUGGGUGUUCAUUGGAAGGACUGAUGCUGAAGCUGAAACUCCAGUACUUUGGCCACCUUAUGCGAAGAGUUGACUCAUUGGAAAAGACCCUGAUGCUGGGAGGGAUUGGGGGCAGGAAGAGAAGGGGACGACAGAGUUUGGGAUGGCUGGAUGGCAUCACCGACUCGAUGGACAUGAGUUUGAGUAAGCUCCAGGAGUUGGCGAUGGACAGGGAGGCCUGGCGUGCUGCGAUUCAUGGGGUCUCAAAGAGUCGGACACGACUGAGCGACUGAACUGAAUCAUUAUUUCUUUACUUUUACUAAUAAUAAGAGUAAGAGACAGUAAAGAUGUGACUGAAAGCCUUGGCUCUGGAGCCAAAAUACCUGGGUUGAAAUCUCACGUCUACUAAUUACCAGCUGAGGAACGUUAGGAGGGUAGAACCUUCCCACGGCUACAGUUUCUUCAGUUCGCUUUUCAACGAGGAUAGUAAUAGGUCCCUUCCUCUCUAUGAGGAUUGAAUGAGUUAAUAUUUGUAAAGUGAUUAAUGCAUUGCCUGGUAGAUGGCCUUGUUGUUGUUUUACAGAUUAACAACCUAAAAGCUGAAAGUUAUGUUUUAUUCAGUGGGAAUUUUUAGGAUUUUAAGCCUGGAGACAGCAUCUCAAGUGACCCUGAGAGAACUGCUUGGAGAAGGUGAGGGGAGGAGCCAAGUUAUAUAGAAGUUUUGUAACAAAGGACAGGUAGUCUGAAUAUCAACAGAUUAUCAUUAAAGAAAACUAGAUAACCCAA